rfam:Micromonospora rhizosphaerae strain DSM 45431 genome assembly, contig: Ga0070624_12
UUGAGCCGUGUGCCGCGACGAGUGGCACGCACGGUUCUUAGGGGGGCGGGACGCAGCAAUGCGUCCCGCCUACCCGAC